rnacentral:lncRNA from 1 species
GGGGAGGUGUACUAUCUACACACUCCAGCUGCCACAGAGCUCUCUCUCACACACACACCAUGCGGUCCCUGCCGUGAUUGGCUAUAUCGUAGAGGGUGAUCCUGAAUAAAUCCUCAUUCACCCGCCCUCCCUGCCCCCAGUUGUUUUUGUCUGGCAUUUUGUCACAGUGUCAAGGAAAGUGGCUCUCACGGAUGUCUGUGUGAAGCAAGGCACACCAGGCCCUUCCCCGCGGGCUUAGGAUGCUUCCAGAACAUGUAGCUUCCGGUGGGUGGAGAACAGCGGAGGAGAAGCGCAUUAGCUCCUGGCUGUGUUGGCCCACCACACAGACUUUGCCUGGCUUACUAUGCGGAGACUGGAAACAAGAAGAAGGUGAUCUGCCUGUGAGCUGUGUUGGUGCAGUAGUGGCAUAAAGCUCGUGGGAGAAACCAGCCAACAUCUGACUGGAUUUAAGGCCACUCUGUGAGAUGGAACCCAUCCCUGAUGCUGCUUGGCUGGCCAAGAACCUGAGACUGGACAGGCCAGGGACCUAAGGGAAAAUCAAACACUACAGUUCUCCUUAAGGAGCAUACCGAUGAAAUGACUCCUAACAGCAUUCCACCAUGCUCUUUCCUUGUAUAGCCACCACUUGCAGCAGAUGGGGCUAAAUACAGACACGCACAGUCUCACCUUAUGCAGAGAGUGAGAGACCUUAGAACACUCAGCCCUAACCAUGGCGUCUAUGUUUUCAACCCUCAGGGCUCAAGGAACCCUGCACAGGGGACAGUGCAAAGAGUGUAGGAGCCAGAGGGGACAGAGGACACCAAGGAAGCAACACGGCAAGACCCCGAAUGUAUGAACUCACAGAAACCGUGACAAAAGGCACAGGGCCAGCAUAGUCUGCACCAAGCAGUCCUGGAGCCGAAGGGACAAGUGGCUACAGCCACCAUCCCUAACCCAGCAACGAUCUCCAGCUGAUAACCACUUGCAGAUGAAAAUAUGCCUUUCUCCAAGGGAGUCUCACUGGGGACACAAACCACUCUUAAGGGUCCUUUACAUAUAUGCUACGGCUUCCAGUUUUGUGUUAAUGUGUGCCAAUGUGUGUGUGUCUGUGUGUUUCUUGUGUUUUUUUCUUGGGCUUUUUCUUCUGUUUGUGUUUGUCCUGUUCUGAUUUGUUAUUGUU